AGAAAGAGUCUAUUACACACUAUAUGCACUGAGACUGGGGCCAACCUGUUCAACCUCAGGCCCUCUAAUGUGGUGGGUAAGUUCCUGGGAAAAGCUGGAUUGAACAUGCUCCUGCACACGGUCUUCAAAGUGUGCUAAUGAUAACAAUAUAGAACUAAUAAUAAUAAUAAUAAUGAUAUUAUAUUUCAUUAAAAGGUUGAUAAAGCCUGCCCACCCUCAGUUGUGCUCAUAGGCCACUGUGAGAGAACUUUUAGAAAAAGAAUACCAAAAACUGAUAAAACUGAUCCUAAAAGAUUCAAGAAGAUGCUACCAAAGAUAUUUAAAGGUAUAAAACCAGAGGACAGAGUAAUGAUCAUUGGUACCUCCACUAGACCUUUUGAUGCUGAUGUUAAAGGAUUAUGUGUCAUGUAUCAAAGAAUCAUAAUGAUACCAAGAUUUGACUAUGCAUCAA